AGUGAACGCUGGCGGUAGGCCUAACACAUGCAAGUCGAACGGCAGCACAGUAAGAGCUUGCUCUUACGGGUGGCGAGUGGCGGACGGGUGAGGAAUACAUUGGAAUUUACUUUUUCGUGGGGGAGAACGUAGGGAAACUUACGCUAAUACCGCAUACGACCUACGGGUGAAAGCAGGGGAUCUUCGGACCUUGCGCGAUUGAAUGAGCCGAUGUCGGAUUAGCUAGUUGGCGGGGUAAAGGCCCACCAAGGCGACGAUCCGUAGCUGGUCUGAGAGGAUGAUCAGCCACACUGGAACUGAGACACGGUCCAGACUCCUACGGGAGGCAGCAGUGGGGAAUAUUGGACAAUGGGCGCAAGCCUGAUCCAGCCAUACCGCGUGGGUGAAGAAGGCCUUCGGGUUGUAAAGCCCUUUUGUUGGGAAAGAAAAGCAGCAGGUUAAUACCCCGCUGUUCUGACGGUACCCAAAGAAUAAGCACCGGCUAACUUCGUG
rnacentral:rRNA from 1 species